GCCAGGCGUGGUGACGUGCGCCUGUAAUCCCAGCUACUUGGGAGGCUGAGGCAGUAUAAUUGCUUGAACCCAGGAUGCGGAGGUCGCAGUGAGCUGAGAUCGUGCCACUGCACUCCAGCCUGGGCAACAGAGCAAGACUCUGCCUCGG
rnacentral:SRP_RNA from 1 species